rnacentral:rRNA from 1 species
UGGGGAAUCUUGCGCAAUGGGCGAAAGCCUGACGCAGCAACGCCGCGUGGGGGAUGAAGGCCUUCGGGUUGUAAACUCCUUUCAGCAGGGACGAAAUUGACGGUACCUGCAGAAGAAGCCCCGGCCAACUACGUGCCAGCAGCCGCGGUAAUACGUAGGGGGCGAGCGUUGUCCGGAUUUAUUGGGCGUAAAGAGCUCGUAGGCGGCUUCGUAAGUCGGGUGUGAAAUCUUCAGGCUCAACCUGGAGAGGCCACUCGAUACUGCGAUGGCUAGAGUCCGGUAGGGGACCAUGGAAUUCCUGGUGUAGCGGUGAAAUGCGCAGAUAUCAGGAGGAACACCGGUGGCGAAGGCGGUGGUCUGGGCCGGAACUGACGCUGAGGAGCGAAAGCGUGGGGAGCAAACAGG